UACGGAGGGUGCGAGCGUUGUCCGGAAUCACUGGGCGUAAAGGGCGCGUAGGCGGCCUGGUAAGUAGGGGGUGAAAUCCUGCGGCUUAACCGCAGGGCUGCCUUCUAAACUGUUAGGCUUGAGCACAGUAGAGGCAGGUGGAAUUCCCGGUGUAGCGGUGGAAUGCGUAGAGAUCGGGAAGAACAUCGGUGGCGAAGGCGGCCUGCUGGGCUGUUGCUGACGCUGAGGCACGAAGGUCAGGGGAGCAAACGGG
rnacentral:rRNA from 1 species